AUGUGUUGCCCGUCGUCGCCUCCCCAAAGCUUCAUCCGCCGCCGGCGCUGCCGGUGAAGGCUACAGAUUUGGCAGUCGCCGCCGCCUCUGGUUCGCUUGGUGCAGGUCGGGAACGCCGCGAUCCGCCGGCGGACGAGCCGCUUCCCGCCUUGCACCAACUGAAUCGGAGGCGGAAGCGACGAUCCCCGUGUUUUUGCGGAUCCCGCUUGCUGGAUCUCGACGCUUGGUGUUCGUUUCGAACCUUGUCUUUCGUGUUGGGAGGUUUUUCUCCCUCCGUUCUGCUGAUUGAUGCCUUGUUUUAGGUCACGACGUUUUUCUGCGCUCUAUCCGAGCAGUUUCCCCCUAUUACAGCGGAAAGCUUUGACCUUUAGAAUAGAUUCUUUCGAUUUAAUUGAGCUUGGUUGCCUUUGGGGUUUGUUCUUUCGAUUAAAUUUGAUUGAAGUCUCCUUGUGGUUCUUUUGUGUCUGGCGUUGCAUUUCUCCGCAAUCGAUUCAUCAAUUGGAAUCUCUGCCAUGAUUUAUUGGCUGAUGAGUUUUGAACAUCGGUUACAUUGUCAUUUCCUCUCUUUUUUCUCUCUUGAUUUUGAGUAACAAUUAGGUAGAUCUGUGUUUCGUAUUUCCAUACUGAUUCGGUGUGUCUGGUAACUCUGGUUGUGAUGGAAAUUGCAAGAUUGCUUCUUUCUUGAUCCAAUGAACAGACAGAUGAGGUGUUCAAGAUAAGUGAAGAAAUUGGCAGGUGUAUUAGUUGAUUUCUGGUUUGGUUCUGCCCUUACUAUUUCUCUUUGUUUUUAGAAAGCUAGGAGCUGGUUUUGCUGCCAAAUAUCUUUCUCCAACUUAUCAUUCUUCUCAGUAAUAAGGCCUAGAUUGACAAGAAAUUAUAGUAUCAUUGAAGAAUAUGUACUUUUGUUACAAGAAAUUCUAGCAAAUUUCCUCUUUAAGUUGUUAUUUUGAAUGUCAAGUCUGUGGAUCACUCUCUAGUUCCUUUCUGUUGUGUUACCUUUCCAAUUGUUGUAGAUUGACAUUACUUAUUUUUGGAAUUCCUCUUUGACUUCAUGAGAUUGUGAUUUGAUUUGUAAAUUUAUGGUCACAUGUCUAGUUUUUAAUUUAUGUAGAGUGGAGCAUCUCAUGCAACUUUCUUGUUCAUGUAAAGUUUGGUUACCUUGAUGUUAACUAGAAAUUUCUUCUUAUGGUCAUUUAUUAAUUAGAACUUCAUGGUCCAAUGAAAAUAACCAAUCUCCAUAUAUUUUUUAUGGCCAUCUUACAUGUGUUUAAUGGUUUACUAUAUCAUGACUACCUGUGUAACUAAUUGCCAUUGAAGAUGACAGAGCCCAAGGCCUUCAUGCAAAAUGAACAAUCUAGUUUGAGUUUUAUAUUUCUACAUAAAAUCUAGUCAUGUUUUUCUCUAUCAAGGGACUUGAGAGAAGUAGGGGAUGCUAUGGAUCAACAUGGCUCGCGGCUAAGAGGAAGGAUUUAAAUAGAAGGCUUGUACCAAUGUUGACACUUAAUAGGAGUAUUAGAUAGAGGGCUCCUUUUACCUUUCCUCAGGUAACUAGGUAGUUGGUGAAAUCUUGUUUAUAUACAUGCAUGUAAUGGAGCUAAUCUGGAAUUUAGUGUAUCAGAACCUUGUUAGAUAUGGCUUCUUUCCUUGUUUUGCUCAAGUGACAUGUUGUGUAUGAUAGUUUCAUGGUUCUAGUUGUCACAAAAACACCUUCCUUGGAAGAAAAGAAGAUUUUUUUUUUAUUACUAGGGCUCUUUCAUAAUUUAAUUUUUUGUGGGAUGAUUUAAUAAACUACAGGACCAAGAUUGGAAAUUGGAUCAGUUCACAUUCUCAUUUCCCAUCCUCUGAUAAUAACCCAAGGCUACGAGUGGCUAUUCGAGGUCACACAUUCUGUAUUACUUGAGUGCAUCAGGCCUCAUCUAAAGAUAAUAGAUUGCCGUGAAGGACGAAUAAAUCUGAGGGUUCGAAUCCGCCAGCUGUGAGAAGAGGAUGGAUGUGGCUUUGUAGUUCAAGACUCUGGAUCUAUGUUGCUCAGUUAUCCACUGCAUCUCAUGUAUGUGAUGAUGAUGAUGAUGGUGUGUAAUAUUUGAAUAAAUGCAAGCAUAAUCGCCAGUCAAGUUGCUUCACUAAUUAAACUAUUUAUUAUCA